rnacentral:rRNA from 1 species
CCCUUCGAUGUUCGGAGCUGCACGCGCGCUACACUGUGGGUGGCAGCAUGUUAGCUUGCCUCGCUCGCAAGAGUGGGGUAAUCGUUUGAAAAUCCCACGUGAUUGGGAUAGGGACUUGUAAUUAUUUCCCUUGAACGAGGAAUCCCUAGUAAGUGCAGGUCAUCAGCUUGCGCUGAUUACGUCCCUGCCCUUUGUACACACCGCCCGUCGCUCCUACCGAUUGGGUGAUCCGGUGAAUGGUUCGGACUCUGGCUAUGCUAGCUACUAGCUACGUCAGGGAAAGUUCUGUGAACCUUAUCACUUGGAGGAAGGAGAAGUCGUAACA